CCGCCUCCUCGGACCCUCUCCCGCCAUGGCGCAAAUACUCCCCAUCCGUUUACAUGAGCACUUCCAGCUCCAAGACCUUGGAAUUAAUCCAGAUAAUAUUGGAUUCAGCACACUGACUAUGGAAUCAGAUAAGUUUAUAUGUGUUCAAGAGAAAGUCGGUGAGCAGGCGCACGUAGUGAUUAUUGAUGUGAGUGAUCCAAUGGCAUCAAUUAGAUGGCCCAUCUCUGCAGAAAGUGCCAUCAUGAAUCCGGCCUCUAAGGUGAUAGCUCUGAAAGCUGGGAAGACACUUCAAAUCUUUAGUAUUGAGAUGAAGAAUAAAAUGAAGGCUCAUACUCUGGCAGAAGAGGUGAUUUUCUGGAAAUGGGUCUCUGUGAACACUGUAGCCCUGGUUACUGAGACCGCUGUCUACCACUGGAGUAUGGAAGCUGACUCACAGCCUAUCAAGAUGUUUGAUAGACAUGCCAGUCUUGCAGGAUGCCAGAUGAUCCACUACCGGACUGAUGAGUACCAGAAGUGGUUGGUCCUUGUUGGCAUCUCAGCACAGCAAAACCGUGUGGUUGGGGCAAUGCAGCUCUAUUCUGUGGAUAGGAAGGUUUCACAACCCAUUGAAGGCCAUGCUGCUGCUUUUGCAGAAUUCAAGGCUGAGGGGAAUGCGAAGCCUGCCACCCUUUUCUGCUUUGCUGUACGAAAUCCCACAGGAGGCAAGUUACACAUAAUCGAAGUUGGACAGCCUGCAGCAGGAAACCAGCCUUUUGUAAAGAAAGCUGUGGAUGUGUUUUUCCCUCCUGACGCUCAGACUGAUUUCCCAGUAGCUAUGCAGAUUGGAGCAAAACACGGUGUCAUUUUCUUGAUCACAAAGUAUGGCUAUCUUCAUAUGUAUGACCUAGAAUCUGGUGCAUGCAUUUACAUGAACCGUAUUAGUGCUGAUACAAUCUUUGUUACUGCUCCACAUGAACCUACCUCUGGAAUUAUUGGUGUCAACAAAAAGGGACAGGUGCUUUCAGUUUGUGUUGAGGAAGACAAUAUUGUGAAUUAUGCAACCAACAUACUUCAGAAUCCAGACCUCGGUCUCCGUUUGGCCAUUCGUAGUAAUCUAGCAGGGGCAGAGGAGUUAUUUGUGAAAAAAUUUGAUACCCUGUUUGCACAGGGGAGCUAUGCUGAAGCAGCCAAAGUAGCAGCAUCUGCACCAAAGGGAAUCUUGCGUACCAGUGACACAAUUCAGAAGUUACAGAGUAUACCUGCCCAGCCUGGGGAGAUUUCUCCAUUGAUACAAUAUUUUGGAAUCCUGCUUGACCAGGGUCAGCUUAAUAAACUUGAAUCCUUAAAAAUUUGUCGUGUAGUCCUUCAGCGAGGACGCAAGAGACUCAUAGAAAAGUGGCUGAAAGGAAACCAGGUAGAGUGUUCAGAAGAACUUGGAGAUUUGGUCAAGACUGCUGAUACUACACUGGCUCUGAGUGUCUACCUUCGAGCAAAUGUGCCAAGCAAAGUUAUACAGUGUUUCGCAGAAAUAGGCCAAUUCCAGAAAAUUGUGCUCUAUGCCAAAGAGGUUGGCUAUGCCCCAGACUGGAUCUUUUUGCUGAGGAGUGUGAUGAGGAUUAGUCCAGAUCAGGGCCUGCAGUUUUCUCAGAUUCUAGUACGGAAUGAGGAGCCACUGGCUAGCAUUGACCAGAUUGUAAAUGUUUUCAUGGAAAACAGUUUAAUUCAGCAAUGUACUUCCUUCUUGUUGGAUGCCUUGAAGAAUAAUCACCCAGCUGAGGGGCAUCUUCAGACACGCUUACUGGAGAUGAACCUGAUUCAUGCCCCCCAGGUUGCAGAUGCCAUCCUUGGAAAUCAGAUGUUUACUCAUUAUGAUCGGGCCCAUAUCGCCCAACUGUGUGAAAAGGCCGGUCUCCUGCAGCGAGCAUUGGAGCACUACACUGACCUCUAUGACAUCAAGAGGGCUAUGGUCCACACUCACCUUCUCAGUCCCGAGUGGCUCGUCAGCUUCUUUGGUUCUUUAUCAGUGGAAGAUUCUUUGGCAUGUCUGCGUGCUCUGCUGUCUGCCAACAUUAGACAGAACCUUCAGUUGUGUGUUCAGGUUGCCUCUAAAUACCAUGAGCAGCUGGGUACACAGUCCUUGGUGGAACUCUUUGAAUCCUUCAAGAGUUAUGAAGGCCUCUUCUACUUCCUGGGCUCAAUUGUGAACUUCAGCCAAGAUCCAGAUGUGCACUUCAAGUACAUUCAAGCCGCCUGCAAGACAGGACAGAUAAAGGAGGUGGAGAGGAUAUGCCGAGAGAGCAAUUGCUACUAUCCUGAAAGGGUGAAGAACUUCCUGAAAGAGGCCAAACUCACUGAUCAGCUUCCUCUUAUCAUCGUGUGUGAUAGGUUUGACUUUGUACAUGACCUUGUCCUGUACUUAUAUCAAAACAACCUGCAGAAGUAUAUCGAGAUCUACGUUCAGAAGGUGAACCCUAGUCGGAUCCCAGAUGUGGUUGGAGGACUGCUUGAUGUGGAUUGUUCGGAAGACGUAAUUAAAAACUUGAUCAUGGUAGUGAGAGGACAGUUCUCUACAGAUAAGCUGGUGGAUGAAGUAGAGAAAAGAAACAGGCUAAAACUUCUGCUCCCUUGGCUGGAGUCCUGGAGUCAUGAAGGCUGCGAAGAACCUGCUAUUCACAAUGCACUCGCCAAGAUCUAUAUUGACAGCAACAGCAGCCCUGAGCGCUUCUUGAAAGAGAACUCCCACUAUGACAGUCGUGUUGUUGGCCGUUAUUGUGAGAAGCGGGACCCACAUCUGGCCUGUGUGGCUUAUGAGCGAGGGCAGUGUGACCUUGAGCUCAUCAAGGUUUGCAAUGAGAAUUCUUUAUUCAAAAGUGAGGCUCGCUACUUGGUGCGCAGGAAGGAUCCAGAGCUCUGGGCGCAUGUACUCCAGGAGACCAAUUCAUCCAGAAGACAGCUGAUUGACCAGGUGGUACAAACAGCAUUAUCAGAAAUACAGGAUCCUGAAGAGGUUUCAGUCACUGUCAAGGCCUUCAAAACAGCUGACCUCCCUAAUGAACUGAUUGAACUGCUGGAGAAGAUUGUUCUAGAUAACUCUGUCUUCAGUGAGUUCAGGAAUCUCCAGAAUCUGCUAAUCCUGACUGCUAUCAAGGUAGACCGCACUCGAGUCAUGGACUACAUCAUUCGCCUGGACAAUUAUGAUGCCCCAGAUAUUGCAAGCAUUGCCAUCACCAGUGCAUUGUAUGAAGAGGCAUUCACCAUCUUUCACAAGUUUGACAUGAAUGCCUCAGCAAUCCAGGUCCUGAUUGAGCACAUUGGAAACCUAGAUCGAGCCUAUGAAUUUGCAGAGAGAUGCAAUGAACCUGCCGUGUGGAGUCAGCUGGCCCAAGCCCAGCUCCAGAAAGACUUAGUAAAGGAAGCCAUUGACUCUUACAUCAGAGCUGAUGACCCAGCCUCUUACCUAGAGGUUGUUCAGACAGCCAGCAGGAAUAGCAAUUGGGAGGAUCUGGUUAAAUUCCUACAGAUGGCCAGGAAAAAAGAUCAUGAAUCCUAUAUAGAGACUGAACUUAUUUUUGCGCUGGCUAAAACCAAUCGUCUCUCUGAGCUAGAAGAUUGUAUUAACGGACCCAACAAUGCCCACAUACAACAGGUUGGAGACCGCUGUUAUGAGGAAGGAAUGUAUGAAGCUGCUAAGCUGCUAUAUAGCAGUGUUUCUAACUUUGCCGGUCUGGCUUCUACCCUGGUCCACCUUGGUGAGUAUCAGGCAGCAGUGGACAGCAGCCGCAAGGCAAACAGCACACGGACAUGGAUGGAGGUGUGCUUUGCCUGUGUGGAUGGACAGGAAUUCCGCCUUGCACAGUUGUGUGGUCUCCACAUCGUCAUUCAUGCAGAUGAGCUGAAAGAGUUAAUUUGCUAUUACCAGGAUGGAGGCUACUUUGAAGAGCUGAUCUCUGUGUUAGAAGCUGCCUUGGGCCUGGAGCAAGCCCAUAUGGGCAUAUUCACAGAACUGGCUAUCCUCUACUCCAAAUUCAAGCCGCAGAAGAUGCCAGAGCACCUGGAGCUCUUCUGGUCCCGUGUCAACAUCCCGAAGGUGUUGAAAGCUGUAGAGCAGGCACACCUCUGGGCAGAGCUGGUGUUCCUUUAUGACAAGUAUGAGGAGUAUGACAGUGCCGUCCUCACCAUGAUCAAUCACCCUGCUGAUGCCUGGAGAGAAGGACAGUUCAAAGACAUCAUUGCCAAGGUGGCCAAUGUGGAACUCUGUUAUAAGGCCCUGCAGUUCUAUUUAGAAUACAAACCUCUGCUCAUCAAUGACCUACUUCUGGUGCUUGCACCCCGGCUAGACCACACUCGGACUGUUGGCUUCUUUUCAGAGGCAGGUCAGUUGCCCCUGGUGAAACCUUAUCUACGUUCAGUCCAGAGCCACAACAACAAGAGUGUGAAUGAAGCACUAAACCACUUGCUGACGGAAGAGGAAGAUUUUCAGGGCUUGAGGUCAUCUAUUGAUGCCUACGACAACUUCGAUAGCAUCGCCUUAGCUCAGCGGUUGGAGAAGCACCCCCUGAUUGAGUUCAGGCGCAUUGCUGCUUAUCUGUACAAAGGCAACAAUCGGUGGGCCCAGAGUGUGGAGCUCUGCAAGAAGGACCAUCUCUACAAGGAUGCCAUACAGUAUGCUGCGGAGUCACGGGAUGCUGAAUUGGCCGAGAAGCUGCUGCAGUGGUUCCUGGAGGAGGGCAACUGGGAGUGCUUCGGUGCCACUCUCUUCACCUGCUACGACCUGCUUCCCCCAGAUGUGGUGCUAGAGCUGGCCUGGAGACACAACCUGGUGGACCUGGCCAUGCCCUACUUCAUCCAGGUGAUGAGGGAGUUCCUUAACAAAGUUGACAGACUAGAUGCCUCAGAGAGCCAGCGCCAGUGAGAGAAGCAUGUUGUGGAGCCUGCCCCUCUCCUCUUUGAUUUUGAUGGGCAUGAAUGAGAUCCAACCGGUUGAGCUAAGCCAGCAGCUGAUGCUGACAGCGGGCCCAGCUGCAGGCCCAGCCCCUGCCAGCUUUCCUUAUGGAUCUACAACUGCUCCUGCCUUCACCUAGCCUCCUGUGUACGGCUUCAGUGUGUUGUGGGCAUUCAGCGACAGUCCCAUCUCUAACCCCACUUAAUGAGACUAUCACCCCAGCAAUACACCCCAGGACCAUGAUGAGGACACCAGGACAUUAUUUAUUUUUGCUGAGACCUGAUGAUGGUAGCUGCUGCGCCAUCCCUGAGCCUGGGGAGUCCAAGGACUGUCUACCCAAGAAGA